CCUACGGGAGGCAGCAGUGAGGAAUAUUGGUCAAUGGCCGGAAGGCUGAACCAGCCAUGCCGCGUGAAGGUCAGUGCCCUAUGGGCGUUAAACUUCUUUUGUGCGGGAGCAAUAAUGGUCACGUGUGGCCAGACGAGAGUACCGUACGAAUAAGCAUCGGCCAACUCCGUGCCAGCAGCCGCGGUAAUACCGGGGAUGCAAGCGUUAUCCGGGUUUAUUGGGUUUAAAGGGUGCGUAGGCUGUGAGGUAAGGCAGCGGGGAAAUGCCCCCGCUCAACGGGGUGAAGUGCCAUUGAUACUGCCUUGCUGGAAUGCGGAUGCGGUGGGAGGAAUGUGUGGUGUAGCGGUGAAAUGCAUAGAUAUCACACAGAACACCGAUUGCGAAGGCAUCUCACGAAUCCGCGAUUGACGCUGAUGCACGAAAGCGUGGGUAUCAAACAGGAUUAGAUACCCUUGUAGUC
rnacentral:rRNA from 1 species